CUGGCACCAGAGCAAUCCAGUUCUCCCAGGCGGAAAUGUUUCCACAGGAUCCUUUUCCUCCUGGGAAACCUGCUUUGUCUCUCGGUGAAGGACUCCCAAACUGGGCACUUCAUGAACAGAAUCAGAUAGUUUAGAAGAAAAGGAAGAGGGAGCAGAUCCUGGAGUGGACCCCUGACAGCUGAGGGCAGCUGGGCUGGAUGGAGGGGGAGGACGGCGUGCGGCUCCGGCCUGGAUGGGGGUUUUCUAACGCCUCCUGCCGACCCCCGGGAACCCCAAACUCCGAUCCCCGCCGUCGGCUCCGGACGCGGGCCCCGGCCUCCUCAAGCACUCACCUCGGCCGGGCUGCGCUCCCCGCGGGCCUGCGCCGAGCCCGAUAAGUGGUAUGCUAUGACUAGAGACCCCUGAUGGCCCCUUGUGUCCUUUUUUGUGGAUGAAGACCCCCGAGGCUCCAAAGGAAGCAGCAGCUCAUUUGGCUUUGGGGGGGGGGGAGUUUAAAGGGAAAAAAAAAUUAUAUGACACUUGUUAAA